rnacentral:misc_RNA from 1 species
UGGCUCUGGCAUCGAUGAAGAACGCAGCGAAAUGCGAUAAGUAAUGUGAAUUGCAGAAUUCAGUGAAUCAUCGAAUCUUUGAACGCACAUUGCGCCCGCCAGUACUCUGGCGGGCAUGCCUGUCCGAGCGUCAUUUCAACCCUCGGGCCCCCGUUUCGGCGGCGGGCCCGGCGUUGGGGAUCAGGGGCCGCCCGGCGGACCCUGCCCCCUAAAUACAGUGGCGGUCGCGCCGCAGCCUCCCCUGCGUAGUAGCACACCUCGCACCGGAGAGCGGCUCGGCCACGCCGUGAAACCCCCCACUUCUUCAAGGUUGACCUCGGAUCAGGUAGGAAUACCCGCUGA